rnacentral:rRNA from 1 species
CCUGGUGCUUGCACCGGGUGGAUGAGUGGCGAACGGGUGAGUAACACGUGAGUAACCUGCCCCCGACUUCGGGAUAAGCCCGGGAAACUGGGUCUAAUACCGGAUAUGACCAACGCUCGCAUGAGUGUUGGUGGAAAGUUUUUCGGUUGGGGAUGGGCUCGCGGCCUAUCAGUUUGUUGGUGAGGUAAUGGCUCACCAAGACGACGACGGGUAGCCGGCCUGAGAGGGCGACCGGCCACACUGGGACUGAGACACGGCCCAGACUCCUACGGGAGGCAGCAGUGGGGAAUAUUGCACAAUGGGGGAAACCCUGAUGCAGCGACGCAGCGUGCGGGAUGACGGCCUUCGGGUUGUAAACCGCUUUCAGCAGGGAAGAAGCCCCUUGGGGUGACGGUACCUGCAGAAGAAGUACCGGCUAACUACGUGCCAGCAGCCGCGGUAAU